UUUAUAGCAGUUAUACUACUGUAAUACUAACAUGAUAUACUAGUAUAGUAGGAGAGGGGUGGUAAUACUUUAUAGCAGUUAUACUACUGUAAUACUAACAUGAUAUACUAGUAUAGUAGGAGAGGGGUGGUAAUACUUUAUAGCAGUUAUACUACUAUAAUACUAACAUGAUAUACUAGUAUAGUAGGAGAGGGGUGGUAAUACUUUAUAGCAGUUAUACUACUGUAAUACUAACAUGAUAUACUAGUAUAGUAGGAGAGGGGUGGUAAUACUUUAUAGCAGUUAUACUACUGUAAUACUAACAUGAUAUACUAGUAUAGUAGGAGAGGGGUGGUAAUACUUUAUAGCAGUUAUUCUACUGUAAUACUAACAUGAUAUACUAGUAAAGUAGGAGAGGGGUGGUAAUACUUUAUAGCAGUUAUUCUACUGUAAUACUAACAUGAUAUACUAGUAUAGUAGGAGAGGGGUGGUAAUACUUUAUAGCAGUUAUACUACUGUAAUACUAACAUGAUAUACUAGUAUAGUAGGAGAGGGGUGGUAAUACUUUAUAGCAGUUAUCUACUGUAAUACUAACAUGAUAUACUAGUAUAGUAGGAGAGGGGUGGUAAUACUUUAUAGCAGUUAUUCUACUGUAAUACUAACAUGAUAUACUAGUAUAGUAGGAGAGGGGUGGUAAUCAUCAUAAAGAUACUAGUUAAUAUAUGUAUAUUCUGCAGUUAUAGUGCGA